AGAUGGCGUCGUUUUUGGCUUGUUUGGUUUCUUCUUUCUCUCCGUCCAAACCUCUCUCUAUGCGACUUCAACGGCGAUAUAGUCCCUCUCUGUGGCUCCUCGACUCAACGGCGAGGUCUGUCUCGGUGGCUUUCCUCGGUGGUUCUCGUGGACGGCGACAGAUCUCUCUCUCGGUGGCUCACCAAUCGAAAGGACCUCUGAGUUUUGGGGCAAGAGGAAGAGGAAGAGGGAGAGGGAGAGGGAGAGGGAGAGUGAUGUCUACGCUCGAAAGAAUUUGAUCGGACUAGAUCAAACUAGAAUUUGAUCGGACUAGACUAGACUUAGACGUAAAACAAGAGCAUGCUUCACUCCUUCUCUUUCUCCGCAAAAGACCCUUAAAUUCGCCGCCUUACUGAGUAAGAGAGGAUUCUACACUCGCUUAGGCUCUGGCUAUGGCUUCUAUGGAGUUGAAGCAAAAGCAUGCUUUGCUCCUAAUGAACUUUGUUCUCUCCUACUACAGGCUGCUCAUAUUCCCCGUGCUCUCUUCUUUGAUUUGGAUGGAAUAUCAGAUCGAUCAACAAGUUUGCCACAUAUGUUACCGUCUGAGCAAGCUUUUGCUGCUGGCCGUUCUGCUCUUGGAAUUGAUAAUAAAGAUGGAGUGGUUGUUUAUGAUGGGAAUGGUCUCUUUAGUGCAGCCCGUGUAUGGUGGUUAGUUAUAGCACUCCUUUGGAUUUAUAUUCUUUUGCUUUGUUCAGUUUGUGUUUUCUCAGUUAUUGUUAUAAUUGAUGUGUGGUACAACUCGUCAGUUAGAUGGUGCAGGUAAAACAAGAACUUGAUGAUGUAUACAUGUCUAAGUGAUGCUUAUACUAUCCGUUGUUUCAUCGUCAUGUUGCCAGUAACGCUUUGUUUUCUUCCUUCUUGUUCUAGUUUUCUCAUGGAUCCCCUUCUUUCAUCUCAUAUAUUCAUAUCUUGGUGAUUGAUUUUCCAGAAGUUAAAAGAACAAGUAUACAACAAUGUUUAAUUUUUUUUUAAGAACCUUUAACUAAGAAA